GAGUAUGGGAGACAGCAGAAGGAAAGCCCUGCCCCUCCCUGUUUAAACAGGGUAAUGACGCAGAUGGGGGCCUGACCGCCCUGAACCCAGUGUUUGUAACUACUGAGCAAACACGAAGGCCAAGAGGAACUGACCAUCCCAGUGAGGCGAAACACAAUGGCCUCUCUAAAGGGCUUUCUCUCUUUAGUGUGGCAAUCCGCAUCUGGAGGUAGGCAACAGAGUACCAUUCAUACACUGCCGGGACACUGCUGCGGUUCUGCUAUUCCUGGUUUCCAAGUGAUGCCCAAGGAGUGCGAAGACGGAAAAUGGGCCAGAAGGGCCAGUCCAGAAACAGGGAGAUCCUUCCUGCCAAGGCCGCAGGGCUGCUCCAUACUUGAGGACAAGACUUUCCUUGUACCCAACCCCCAGAACAUUAGCCCUGGGCUCUGGUAGAUUCCUUUGCCCGCGCGCGCCCGUGCACACAGGCACAGAAAACAGACCCUGAGAAACAGACUCGCUAAAGGAAAUGGCCAUUGUCAAGCAAAUCAGUCCUAAAGGAAGCCCUGGAGGGAUGAACAGCUUCGAGGUCAGCCCUGGGGCAGGCUGGGGGAGAAAAAGAAAGGCUUUUGUGCGUUCUAAAGGAAAUCAGAAAUCAGCUUUGCUCUGAGAACCCUCCCUCAAACCCUUCAGUUACCUCCCUCUUUUGCCGUUUUACUGCCUUCAGAUACAGGGGGCCAAAGAAGGAGAGAGCCAUUGCCAGACGACAGGGGAUGUCUACAGGUGUCAGGAUUUUGCUUCUUGGGACACUUGGCUUAUACGUAGGUCUGUGUCUGAAUAUCUGGGAUAUUCAGUUUUUUGAACUGGGUUCUGUUGUGGUUUAAACAUGAAGUGCCCCCCGCAAAGGGCCUUCAUGUUUUGAGGGCCUUGAUCCAUGCAGCUGUGCUCAGACGUAGGCCCUAGAGUGGUGGCUGGAUCGUGUGGAUUCGGGACCUCCAGGGAUGAGCUCACAGCUGAAUGGGCUUUUAGGGGGCAGGGCCCCUGUGGAGGAAGCGGGCCACACUGCGGGCUGUACCUUUGAAGGGGAUAUCUUGCCCCUGGUCCCUUCCUUUCUCUUCCUCCGGCUCUUUCCUUUUGGUUUUCCUUCUUGGCUGCCAAGAAGUGAGCAGCUUUGCUCUGCCUCCUCCUUUCACUACAAUGUUUCUAGUGAAGUUUUUAGUAGGCCUAAAAGCAAUGGGGCCCAGCCAACCAUGGACUGAAACCUCUGAAACUGUGAGCCAAAAUAAACCUUUCCUUCUCGUAAGUUGUUUUUCCCUUGGGUAUAUUGCUAAAUAGCAGACAUGAAACUUUCAAGAGCAGGAAUUAGAAGUUAGGUCUGAUUUGAGUAUUUUCUGAAUAAUAGGUGUUGACUGCACCUUGAUACACUUUCCACUGGGUGAUCCGAAUUAGCCCACUGAGACAACAGGAACGGGUCCCACGAAGUCCUGCUUCUCAUGACUUCUAACCCCUGGGCAAUCAUGUUCAACCUUCACUAUGAAAGACUCCUCUUGCACCUGGCAUUUCAGCCAAUAAUUCUUCUUUUCUGGAAGCUGCUUUUUUUAAACCCUAAUGAUGGCCACAAUGCUUACAUGAAUAUUGUGGAUUCUCUCUAAAUCUUCGUGUUAUUCAAUUUGCCCCCCACCCUUGAAUUUUCUUAGGUUCUUGUUUGUUUGUUUUUUGGUACCAGGGAUCAAACUUGGGUCCUUGUGCUUUUGAGCCAGGCAGUGGAACCACUCCCCAGCCCGGUUCUUCAAGCUUUGUAAACUUAAACUCAGGGCCGGGGAUUUAGCUCAGUGGUUCUGCCGCCUGCCUUGCAAGCGCAAGGACCGGAGUUCAAUCCCCGGUACAAAAAAAAACAAAAAACAAAAAACUUAAGCUCAAUAAGAGCAGCAGGGCUGUGAGAUUAAGAAGUGUUUCUGCAGAUGUUGGGCUCCUCUCCUUCCCUUCAUUUGAAUGACUGCCACUUACUCUUUUGAUUUCAGGUUGACAGAGGACAGAGGCACUCAUAUGCUGAGAUUUGUUUGCCAUGAAACCAAAGCCUAGAGCAAAUCUUUGCUUUGUGUAAGAAAUGUCGCAAAUGGAUAAAUAGGUGAGUGUGUGUGUAUGUCUGCAGCUUCACAGCUAAUCAUGAUAGAAAAUAAAUUUCACUGCUGACAAUAUUCAAGGAAAAUAAGUUAACUUCCUCUCACAAGUCUAAUAGUCAUAAAUCAUAUGUGUGUGUGUGUGUGUGUGUGUGUGUAAAACAGUCUAAUUUUCCACUUAUCUGUGGUCUUUGAGAUUUACUGUUUUACUGAAGCAUUUUCUAAGGGUCCUAAAUAAGGCAGAAAAGUAUCUAAGUUACUAUGAGUAUUAGAACCAGAAGUCACCCAUGGCUUGACCAGAACUGACUAGAAUAGUAUUUUAAAAUAAGAAGGGACCAUUCUAGGCCAGUCUUUUUGUUUUAUCCCUCCAGGGGUCUUUGAUUAGAUUAACAGCAGAGUCAGAGAUAGCAUCUGGUUCUCCUCUUUAUCAACACUCUCCAUCACCAGGAUGCCCUUCCUGAGAAUCUUCUGCAUCUUAGAAUUUAUCGUUGUUGCUAUUAAGCCUUGGAAUUUAUAAGCAUUUAUCCCAGGUUGCCUGGUUUUGAUAGCUUUCAGUACAGAAUAUUGGCAGAAGAUCAAAAACAAACUCUUUUCAGGGUUCUGUCCCUAGAUAAAUCUGACAGGCGCCAUAUAAUGAUAAAGGACUGACACCCACUCACGCAAAAGAUAGGUUUUAUUAACGAUAAGCCAUCUGGACUUCAUCCAGCAUUACAAUGCUGGCACCGAUCAUAUCUAUCUGCCUGUCUAGACAGAGCCAGGUACUUGGGGAAGAGAAACGAGAAUUAAGUUAUAAAGAAGCAUCUGACUCCAAUGCAAUCUACUAUGGUAUAUUUCCAAAAACGAUAUCCUUUCUCAAAAGUCAAAAUGCACAAGUUAUAGCAUCCAAUAAAGCACUUGAAAAAAGGAAAUGAUUUUCUAGUUUUACAUUCCCAUUUAUCUUCCCUGCCUGCACCAAGGUGUGCGGCCCACACCAAACCCACACUGUGACCCACAAGCCUUGUGUGUCUCCUGGCCAGAAGCCAGCUGAUGAAACUGGGGGAACUUGCCCCUUGCUUGGACAGUUUUAGAUGACAUCUGAUCUGAGUUUGGUCCCUGACUGCCAUUAUCUACUUCACCUGUAGAUCCACACUCUCAACUGGGAGGUGUGCAUUGCUGCUGCGGAGCUGCCUGAAGGAUAAACUUUUAGAAAUUGUAGCUUCUCUGCAGGCAAAGGAAAAAUGGCAGGAGCAAAUGGAACAGAAGCCAUCCUCAAAGGAAUUGUUUAAUGCCUGGGUGUGUAGACGAGCUCUUACAUGUACAUGAUCUACACCAGUUUAUGAGAAUAAAACAGCUUUCUUAAUGGUGUAGUUCUAGAUGCAUGUUCCAAGAUUAGGUGUAUGUGUGGAGAGAGAAGCCAGAAAAGGCUCUUGGAGAAUCUGUAGCUUUAUUUGUUCAUUUAUUUUUGCAGUACUGGGAUUGAACUCAGGGCCUUUGCACUAGAUUAUAUCCUUCCUUUUCAUUUUUCGGUUUGACACAGGGUCUUGCUAAGUUACCCAGGUGGGACUUGAACUUACUAUCCUCCUUCCUCAGCUUCCCAAAGUGCUAGAAUCACAGGAGUGUGUCUAGAAUUAGGAGCUUUAGAGAUGGUUUCAGGGUUUUACUUGAGGGAGCUCUUAUACUUCUUAGUAUUUUUGGUAUUCACAUGAACAAACUGGGAAUAAUCCUGGAAGAGGAAGGUACUUUUUGGUUAAGACCUGUUAAUUAAGCUCAGCCUCAGUCAUGAUAAAAUUGUGGCAAAAACUUUCUUGGAGGUAGUUUUAGGCUUUCAUCACAAAAAACCAGUAAGAUAAUUAAUUUUAAACAGAAGGAAGUAGGAGAGAUUAGAACAGUAAUUUUCAAGUUGGGGGGCGGGGUUUGUCCACCAGGGGACAUUUGGUAAUAGUUGGAGACAUUUUUUGGUUGUCAUAGUACAUGUGUGUUACUGGCAUCUAGUGGGUAGAGGCCCGGGAUGCACUGAUCAUCUGGCAAUGCAUAGGAUGGUCCCACACCAAAGAAUUACCUGGAUCUACAUGACAGCUAUGCUGAGACUGAGAACCCCUGAAUGGAGAAAGGGCCACAAGAGUGAAUUAGAAGAAUCUAGCUUCAGUCCUCUGAUUGCAAAACAACAAAAAUGAAAUCCCCACCUUUGGUGCCUCUGUUUCCUCAUCUGUAAAACAGGGCUAAUAAAUAUGUUCUUCAUAGAAAUAUUAUCAGGAUUCAUGAAAUUAUAUACGUUAAGUGCUCUGAUCUCUUCACAAGAAAGGAUCUCUAUAAAAUCAGAGCACAGUUAUUAUGACUUGUAUUCUGAUGAGCUCAUGAAACUGUCUUAAACAUUCUCCUCCCCCUCAGAAAAAAAAUUCCUCCAGGAAAAGAAAACAAACCAGAAAUGAUCUCAUCAUGACUACACCUACCACACCAAAAAGCAGACAGAGUUCAGAGAAAUGAAAUUCUUCCCCUUCAGCAAUGAACUAAGCUGCAUCUGUAAUUAAGAUCUUAAUAAGGGAGUCAGGGCUUGCUGCAGAGCUGCAGGCUAUGAAAUGAGGGGGUACCUGGCCAGGUUUAAAACAGGAACAAUUGAAAUCUGAUCCCCCUCAAGUCUUCACACUCUCAGGUGUUCCAAACAAAUCCAUAUUUUAAAAACAGGCUUGCUUUCUUUCUCAAGAUGUCUAUUUCUGCAAGGGGAAAAAAGGGUGCACCUUAUUUUUUUUUGCAAGAAAAUGUUAUUUAUGACUCUAUGAAGAAUUUGCCUAAAUCCACUUUUGCAAAAAGGCACUUAGUUUCCCACAAAAGACCGCCAGAAGGGGCAAUGCCUUGGACAGCGGAUUGAGCAACUCAGUGACCAUGUGUUCCUGAACCUUCUGAGAGAGUUCCCAGUUUCAAAUAUCCUUGCCAUUGUCAGACCAAAUGUUCCACUGUUUGGUCUGUAAAACAUGGACCCAUACCCAUAGAAAUUAUAGAUUAUAAACCCCAAACAAAGGCUAGGCAUACAAGUCUAUUUCUUCCUAAUGAAUCUGCCUCAUUUGAGUUGAAAGAGCAAAAAAAUAUUGGUAAGAGUUUGUAAUUCAGGCAAUGAACGUGUUCUCCAGUUGACUAGAUAAUCUUUAUAAGCAAGUGAGAUAUAGUCUCAGGGCCUCUGGGCUUCUGUGAGACUGCCUAGAAAUCCCGCCUCACAUAUGAACAGAAAGAAGGCUUUGGGCUACCUGUUGCCUAUUAUUUCUUCUCAUCACACUGGGCUCUGAGCAAAGAAAUUCUGAGAAUCAGAGACUAGUGAUAAAAUUUUAUCCCGGGGGAAUAGUCCAGAGAGAGGGUAUCACAAUUUUGCUAUUCUGAUGCUGUUGUGCUAAUACAGCCAUUAUGCUGGUCUACGGAGCCAUUUCCUGCCA